GCCAGUGUUGGCAGCGCUGCUCGCCUCAAGUUGUCUUGCACAAGCGCUUCCGUUCAUCUUUCUUUCGUUCUUUAACCGUCUUCGUGUGAGGAAAGAAAAAUGAGAGCUAAGUGGCGUAAGAAGCGUAUGCGUAGGUUGAAGCGUAAACGCAGGAAGAUGCGUGCAAGGUCCAAGUAAACCAUUGACGGCAAUGAAGAACGUGUUUUAUGAACUUCAACCUAAUAUUCCAAUUAGCUUCUAGUAUGGAUUUUGCAACCAAGAGGUUGGAGGCAUUUCUAAAAGUUUACCUUUCGUAAAGUGUAAAUUGUUUGAAAUAAAGAGAAUUCUUUAAAUUUCACUAGAAGUGAUACAAAUAUAAAA